rnacentral:rRNA from 1 species
GACGAACGCUGGCGGCGUGCCUAAUACAUGCAAGUCGAACGCUUCUUUCCUCCCGAGUGCUUGCACUCAAUUGGAAAGAGGAGUGGCGGACGGGUGAGUAACACGUGGGUAACCUACCCAUCAGAGGGGGAUAACACUUGGAAACAGGUGCUAAUACCGCAUAACAGUUUAUGCCGCAUGGCAUAAGAGUGAAAGGCGCUUUCGGGUGUCGCUGAUGGAUGGACCCGCGGUGCAUUAGCUAGUUGGUGAGGUAACGGCUCACCAAGGCCACGAUGCAUAGCCGACCUGAGAGGGUGAUCGGCCACACUGGGACUGAGACAUGGCCCAGACUCCUACGGGAGGCAGCAGUAGGGAAUCUUCGGCAAUGGACGAAAGUCUGACCGAGCAACGCCGCGUGAGUGAAGAAGGUUUUCGGAUCGUAAAACUCUGUUGUUAGAGAAGAACAAGGACGUUAGUAACUGAACGUCCCCUGACGGUAUCUAACCAGAAAGCCACGGCUAACUACGUG